rnacentral:rRNA from 1 species
GGACUCUAUUGAGGCCCCGUAAUCGGAAUGAGUACACUUUAAAUCCUUUAACAAGGAUCCAUUGGAGGGCAAGUCUGGUGCCAGCAGCCGCGGUAAUUCCAGCUCCAAUAGCGUAUAUUAAAGUUGUUGCGGUUAAAAAGCUCGUAGUUGGUUCUGCGUGCCGCGCUGUCGGUUCGCCGCCUGUCGGUGUAACUGGCAUGUCGCGGCAUGUCCUGUCGGUGGUGAACGGAAUUCCCGGUGUAGCUGAGGCUUUCAAGCCGAAGUUAUUGCCUGGUGAAUGCCGUUUGCCGAUCUCUCCUACUCCGGUGCUCUUAAACGAGUGUCGAGGUAGGCCGACACGUUCACUUUGAACAAAUUAGAGUGCUUAAAGCAGGCUGAAAUAUCUGCCUGAAUAGUGGUGCAUGGAAUGAUAAAAUAGGACCUCGGUUCUAUUUUGUUGGUUUUAGGAAUGUGAGGUAAUGAUCAAUGUGGACUGGCGGGGGCAUUCGUAUUGCGACGUUAGAGGUGAAAUUCUUGGAUCGUCGCAAGACGCACUAAAGCGAAAGCAUUUGCCAAGUAUGUCUUAAUUGAUCAAGAACGAAAGUUAGAGGUUCGAAGGCGAUCAGAUACCGCCCUAGUUCUAACCAUAAACGAUGCCAGCCAGCGAUCCGCCGAUGUUCCAUUAAUGACUCGGCGGGGAGCUUCCACCCGGGAAACCAAAGCUUUUGGGUUCCGGGGGAAGUAUGGUUGCAAAGCUGAAACUUAAAGGAAUUGACGGAAGGGCACCAC